GGGUGGUAUCCAGGAGUUACCAUAUGAUGUCGUUUCUUUGUAAUAGUGGGCCAGCCUCGCUUUAAGCCAUGUGAUACCCCUCUGUUUCCAGCAAGGCUCCGCUGAAGCACACAGACCCUCUACUUCCAAAGGAAACAGAGCUCUGGCAUAGCGGCUGCUUUCCAGCAGGAGCAGAAUGAUCCUUCAGUGAACAGGGUCUCGCUUAUGUAUGCGGGAGCAGGCGGAGAGACGGAAAGCCUCGCAGUCUCCCCCAUAAAUCUGGCAUGAUUUAAAAAAAAAAAAAAAAGGUGAAACUGAGCAGCCUUGUAAAUAUUAGCCAGUUUACUUACAGAGAAGCGGCGUCAGCUGUGAGAUCUCAGCCUGCACGCUGGCAGGAUUGGAGACUGAGCAGGGGACAGAGGGAAAGUGAAGAGUUUGCCUCAAACCCCAAAUGGAACUUGUGGAAUUCCCCAUUUAAGAGGAAUGGAUCUAUUUAAGACGAUGUGUUAAAUGAUUUAGAUGCACACUAUCUGCUUUCCUGCUCCUGGCUGGAUUACUCAGAUGUGGUCAGUCAUGUCCUGGUUGCUUUGCUUGUGGAUUAGUGUGAGCUCAUUGCUGAUGUGCCAUGCCAGUCUGUACGAUACACUCCAGCAACACCGCAUGACCCGACCAGGAAUAAACACCAUUCAGAUCUUGGAAGGAGGUACAUGUGAGGUCAUUGCUGCUCACAGGUGCUGCAACAAAAACCGAAUUGAGGAGCGAUCCCAGACGGUGAAGUGCUCCUGUCUUCCGGGCAAAGUAGCAGGAACAACAAGGAACAAGCCUUCCUGUGUCGAUGCAUCCAUCGUAAUUGGGAAGUGGUGGUGCGAGAUGGAGCCCUGUCUGGAGGGAGAGGAGUGCAAGACUCUCCCAGACAACUCCGGCUGGAUGUGCUCAUCUGGAAACAAGAUCAAGACCACCAGGUCCAGCUAGAGAGACAAGAGGUUGAAAGGAUGUGACCAUUUUUCAGCUUUCCAAGAAAACUCAGCCAUAUACAUCCUAUUAGCUGUGAAUCUCAAGUGUGCAAAUACUGCCAGCAAGGAGACCACCACCUGGGGAGAUUAACAAGCGGACAUAAUGAAGACAUCUUUCAAAGGCAUAUGGACAAGAUCCAUCGCUGACAAGGGCUACAUAUUGCAGGUGGUCACACAAGGUCAUCAUUAAAAGACAGGAUUGAUUUUAGGGAAAAAUCGAGCUUGCCUGAGGCUAUAUUUUGCCAAGGAUUUUCCACCCAGGAUAAUAGAUUUUGAUCAACAGCUCUAUCCCGGGUGUGAGAGCCCUCUGUCUUGUCCAUUUAAACGUCAUAAACGAUAUACAGGAGUAGUGGGGCACGAUGGAACAUACAAUGGAACAUUCAAUGGAGAGAUACAUUGUUUCCUCAAUUGAAGUACGCAUCUGAAUUCCAAAGCUUUAAAGUUUGGAUAGUUUCUGGGUGGACUGUUGUGGAUCUCUGCCCUCCGCCAGCUCUCUAACUCCGCAAGCGUGACAAACACUCCUUGCGCAAAAAAAAACUGUCUGGACAAUGGUCGCAUCUUAUGCUUUUCCUCCCAUGUCUGAUGGGAACCAAAGGAACAAUGGGUCCAUGUGUAGCUCAGUCAGUGUCCUUCCGAAAGACAUUUGUGUAACGUUCUUUGUUGGCAUGUUCUGUUCAGUUCACUAGUGCUUCAUUUGUGUCCAGAGACACUGUAGAUACAUCUGUGAUCUUCACCCUUGUGUACAGCAACAAGCGUGACUAGAGACAUCAGCAGCAUUCAUCCUGAGAACAAGACUAUUUCCAGUCCAGGGAUGUGUGGCACAUGCUUGAAGAAUUCCAUUUUCUUUUUUAAUCGACCAUUUACUUUACCUGUCUAGCCAGAGGAAUACCAGCUUAGGCUCAAGACUGGAAUGCUUUGGUUUAUUUGACAAGACAUUCAUUGUAAAAGAAAUGUACAUUGGCUAGCAUAGAUGGAGAAACAGAUAUUGACUUAAGAGAUCUAAAAUCAAUGCAAACAGUAGUCAAGUUCUGCUUGUUCUUGUACUGUUACACUAACCUGCUUUACAAAUGAACUAAAAUGCAGUAACUUCAUUUUAACUGUCUUUUGCCAACAUUUACAGAGUUUUAUGUUUGCUCAACAUAUUAUCUAUAAUUUGAUGACAUGUACUGAUUUUAUCGGCUUCACUUAGGAUAUUUACAAAAGAAAAAUAAACCUGCUCCAUAUUUCCAUAA